rnacentral:rRNA from 1 species
AAAGGGGAGCAAUCCCUGAGUACAGUGGCGCACGGGUGAGUAACACGUGGAUGAUCUAUCUCUUAGUGGGGAAUAACCCUGGGAAACCGGGGAUAAUACCGCAUAAGCUCGAGAGAGGAAAGCAGCAAUGCGCUGAGAGAGGAGUCCGCGGCCGAUUAGCUAGUUGGCAGGGUAAGAGCCUACCAAGGCAGAGAUCGGUAGCCGGCCUGAGAGGGCACACGGCCACACUGGCACUGAAACACGGGCCAGACUCCUACGGGAGGCAGCAGUGGGGAAUCUUGCACAAUGGGGGAGACCCUGAUGCAGCGACGCCGCGUGAGCGAUGAAGCCCUUCGGGGUGUAAAGCUCUUUCGGCAGGGAAGAUGAUGACGGUACCUGCAGAAGCAGCUGCGGCUAACUACGUGCCAGCAGCCGCGGUAAUACGUAGGCAGCGAGCGUUGUUCGGAGUUACUGGGCGUAAAGGGUGUGUAGGCGGUUGUUUAAGUUUGGUGUGAAAUCUCCCGGCUCAACUGGGAGGGUGCGCCGAAUACUGAAUGACUUCNAGUACGGGAGAGGUGAGUGGAAUUCCUGGUGUAGCGGUGAAAUGCGUAGAUAUCAGGAGGAACACCGGUGGUGUAGACGGCUCACUGGACCGUAACUGACGCUGAGACACGAAAGCGUGGGUAGCAAACAGGAUUAGAUACCCUGGUAGUCCACGCCCUAAACGAUGCAUAUUUGGUGUGGGCAGUUCAUUCUGUCCGUGCCGGAGCUAACGCGUUAAAUAUGCCGCCUGGGGAGUACAGUCGCAAGGCUGAAACUC